rnacentral:rRNA from 1 species
ACGGGUGAGUAACGCGUGGGAAUCUACCCAUCUCUACGGAAUAACGCAUGGAAACGUGUGCUAAUACCGUAUACGUCCUUCGGGAGAAAGAUUUAUCGGAGAUGGAUGAGCCCGCGUUGGAUUAGCUAGUUGGUGGGGUAAAGGCCUACCAAGGCGACGAUCCAUAGCUGGUCUGAGAGGAUGAUCAGCCACACUGGGACUGAGACACGGCCCAGACUCCUACGGGAGGCAGCAGUGGGGAAUAUUGGACAAUGGGCGCAAGCCUGAUCCAGCCAUGCCGCGUGAGUGAUGAAGGCCCUAGGGUUGUAAAGCUCUUUCACCGGUGAAGAUAAUGACGGUAACCGGAGAAGAAGCCCCGGCUAACUUCGUGCCAGCAGCCGCGGUAAUACGAAGGGGGCUAGCGUUGUUCGGAUUUACUGGGCGUAAAGCGCACGUAGGCGGACUAUUAAGUCAGGGGUGAAAUCCCGGGGCUCAACCCCGGAACUGCCUUUGAUACUGGCAGUCUUGAGUUCGAGAGAGGUGAGUGGAAUUCCGAGUGUAGAGGUGAAAUUCGUAGA